GGGGAAAAAUUAAUAAAUUAUAAAUAAUAAAAAAAUUUUUAAUAUUGGGGGAUGUUAAAGUAUUUUUUUAAGAAAAAAUAAAUUAUUUUAUAGUUAAAUAGUAUUGAAGAAGAAGUUUGAAAUAAUUGAAAAAAAAAUUAAAAAAAAAGUAAUUUUAAUUUAGUGUAUCUUGUGUAUCAGAGUUUAUUAAAAAAUAUUUUUUAUAAAAAAAAAUCUCGAAUUUAAAAGAGUUAAUUAAUUAUAAAAGUUAAUGUAGAAAAAUUAUUUUAAAUAAUUAAUUUGAAAUGAAAUGUUAAUCGUUUUUAAAUAUAUCUAGUUAUUUUAGAAAAAAAUUUAAUUUAAAAUUUAAAAAAUUUUAUUAUUAAUUAUAAUUAAUAAUAAAAUAUUUAAAAUUAAAUAUAUUAAGGGAUAAGCUUUAAUAUAAAAAUUUAUAAUAAUUUUAAUUAAAAUAUAAAAAUUUUAAAAUUUAUAUUAUUUAAAAAUUAUAAUUUGUUAUAAAAAAUUUUAUAAAUAAUAAAAUUUAAUUUAAAAUUUAAUUUUGUAUAAAAUAAUAAUUUAAAAUAAAAUAAAAUUAAAAAUAAUGAUAAAAUUAGUAUAUUAAAAUAAAAAUAUAAUUUAAUUAAUAAAAAUUAAAUUAAAGGAAUUCGGCAAAAAUUUAUAUUCACUUGUUUAUCAAAAACAUGUCUUUUAGAUAAUAAUUUAAAGUCUAAUCUGCCCACUGAUAGUAUAUUAAAGGGCUGCAGUAUAUUGACUGUACAAAGGUAGCAUAAUCAAUAGUCUUUUAAUUGAAGACUUGUAUGAAAGAUUUGAUGAGAUAUAAGCUGUCUCUAAUUUAUAUAUAAAAUUUAAUUUUUUAGUUAAAAAGCUAAAAUAAAUUUAAAAGACGAGAAGACCCUGUAGAGUUUUAUAUUAAUAUUUAUUUAAGAUUAAUUAUAUAAAUAAAAAUUAAAAAUAAAAUUAGUAUUUUAUUGGGGUGAUAGAAAAAUUUAUAUAACUUUUUUUAAAAAAAAAUUAACAUAAAUAAGUGAAUAAUUGAUCCAUUAUUAAUGAUUAAAAGAAAAAAUUACCUUAGGGAUAACAGCGUAAUAUUUUUUUCUAGUACAAAUAGAAAAAAAAGUUUGCGACCUCGAUGUUGGAUUAAGAUAAAAUUUAAAUGCAAAAGUUUAAAAUUUUGAUCUGUUCGAUCAUUAAAAUCUUACAUGAUCUGAGUUCAAACCGGUGUGAGCCAGGUUGGUUUCUAUCUUUAAAAUAAUAAAAUAUUUUAGUACGAAAGGAUCAAAUAUUUUUAAUAAUUAAAAUUUAAUGAAUAUUAAUAAUAUAAUUAUA
rnacentral:rRNA from 1 species